rnacentral:rRNA from 1 species
AUUGAACGCUGGCGGCAGGCCUAACACAUGCAAGUCGAGCGGUUGACGGGAGCUUGCUCCCUGAUUCAGCGGCGGACGGGUGAGUAAUGCCUAGGAAUCUGCCUAUUAGUGGGGGACAACGUUUCGAAAGGAACGUUAAUACCGCAUACGUCCUACGGGAGAAAGCAGGGGACCUUCGGGCCUUGCGCUAAUAGAUGAGCCUAGGUCGGAUUAGCUUGUUGGUGAGGUAAUGGCUCACCAAGGCGACGAUCCGUAACUGGUCUGAGAGGAUGAUCAGUCACACUGGAACUGAGACACGGUCCAGACUCCUACGGGAGGCAGCAGUGGGGAAUAUUGGACAAUGGGCGAAAGCCUGAUCCAGCCAUGCCGCGUGUGUGAAGAAGGUCUUCGGAUUGUAAAGCACUUUAAGUUGGGAGGAAGGGUUGUAGAUUAAUACUCUGCAAUUUUGACGUUACCGACAGAAUAAGCACCGGCUAACUCUGUGCCAGCCGCCGCAGUAAAAC